UAGACACGCGGUAGCGUGUCAAGCCAAGUUCAAGCAAAGGAACUGGCUAGCCAGCGCCGAGCGAGUGUAAUAUUACACGAACCACUUGGUGCCACUUUUGACCCUUCUAUAACUCAAAACCUCUUUAACGUAAACACAUAAAACUCCGUGUGUUUAAUUAUAUCCAUAAGGACAUCUAGAAGCCCAAAUUUAAUGAAGCUAGCUCAAACGGUUAAAGAUAUGAAGGUCAAAAAGUCGUGAAUUUUAGCACUGACUGUAUGACUGACAUAUAGUACCUAAACCUAACCUACUUCCAGAUGACCUAGAAGGAUGAAAUUUGGAAUCCAGCUCGGUAAUUGUGUGUAAGCGUAGGAAAAAAUCUAAAAAUAAAAAAAUCAAAAAAUAAGUGGUGUCCCCAUACAAAAAACUUGUAAUACGCGCUAAACAACCAGCCAACGAUUAAAUCUGAAUACCUGCCUAGUUUUCUUUACAAAAAGUAAUGAUAUCCCACCAAAAACAUAAAUGUAAAAAAGGAGAGCCAAGUUCAAUACAAAAACUAUGCUUGGCUGUGGGCUUCGCCGCAAAAAGAAUGGAGAUCUAAAUGAGUGCCAAGUUCUAUGCAAAAUCCAAA